AAUUUGGGUUGUAAACCAUUCAUCGUCGAUGUGGAUGCUACCGUGAGCAUAUAUGCUGAGAACAUCUUAUUCUGCGUUUCUUCAACACCAACUCCUUGUUUAUAGAAUGAAAACCCAAUAAUAAGACCAGCAACGAUAUUAAAUGCGACCCUAGCUCUUAAAAGAGAACUAUCUCGCCAAUACGCUACAAAAUUUCUCAUGGAGAUCUUGUAUAUUUGGAAAAAGAAACUAGUCAUAAACCUCGUUUCAUUUGGAAAAUCAUCAUCUGUUAAUUCUGGGUUGUCCAUGAUGAAAUUGACAUGCUCAAUUAUCUGUUUGUGAGUAUUCGUCGAAGCCCAUGCACCCGCAUAAUCAAACUCAGGACCUUGUUUCAAGAAUUGAAUGCAAUGCAAAACAAAAUCAGCAGUAUCCUUACUGUGUUCAUUGGUUCCAUGAAUACGUUUGAAGUAAUUUACAAGUUUCGACAAAUCUCUUCCCAUAGUAUCGUAAUAUACCGUAUUUCCAUUGAGAUCGAGGAUAAGCAUCAUAUCAAAUAGCUCCAAAAUUCUAGAACUUGGUUGACUAACAGAGCAUAAAAUAGAUAAACCUGAUCUGGCCAACUUUUGCAAAAUGCACACCAACAUCCAAGCAGACUGACUGUCGAGACCAUUUGCAGGUUCAUCUAGCAGUAAGAUUGAACCUGGUCUAGCUGAAAGUUCAACUGCGAUACUAAGUAACCUUUUGUGAUAUAAACUCAAACCUUUACCCAUAUCACCCACAAUAAAAUCGGCAACUUCUCCCAAUCCAAGAAAGUCAAUAACGUAUUCAACGUAUGCAUAUUGCUCUGAAAGGCUCCUUUGCUUCGAUUGUCGAAGGGCAGCAUGCAAACGAAGAGUUUCUCGCACGGUAUACUCAGAGAUGAAUAACGGAUUCUUCCGAACAUAUCCAAUUCGCUUUCUAAGGUUCUUUGGAUUUUUUAAACCACUCAAAGUUAUUUCGCCUUCAACGGAUCCAGCUAUGCCUCUUUGGGAUAGAAUACGAAGUAACACAGAUUUACCAGAUUUAUUCUCACCAAGUAAAGCUGUUAAAGUGUUUUUCUUGAGAUAUCCACUGACAUUUGUUAAGAUUUGCUUCUUAGAAGUCUUCGUUACCACGGUAAAGUUUAAGUCUCGCCAACAUAAUACCAGAUUAUCAUUAGUAGAAAGAGUCGUUGAAACGUCGACUUUUUUAUUGUCUGGCUCUGUUUGACUAGGUGGCUUAUCUUGCGGUUCAAUUAGAAAAGACGAAGCAACUUGAGAAUAAGAUUUCCGCUUUUGAAAUUCAGGAAUAUGAACAGAUUCUCUGUCAUACCUAAUAAAGUUAGCUAGAAUCAAACUGCUAGCCAGAAUGAAAAUAGCAAACCCAAGGAUGAUACCACAAUUUCUCCAUAGGAAAUCGGCUUUAUACUGAUAAACAACCUGCAAGUAUUGGUAGCCCGAGACAAUACUCGUACCAGUUCGGCCAGCCGUGGCAAGACAAAAAUUAUUUUCUAUUGGAGCAGUAUCCGGUGCAGGGGCCAUAAGAGAACAGGGAAUCUCUCUACCGUCAAAUUCGUUCAACAUAAUUGAUUCAUAUCCAUAAUUUACUGGGUUAGCAUAGGCGAUCCAUCUAAACCACCAACCAAUAUAUUGAACAGGCAUAACAGCCCCACAAAAAAUAAUAAGGACCAAAGCGCCAAUACCACCGAUUAAAGCAGCAAUUUCGGCAGUCGUGGAUAGUAGAGCAAUAAACCGGAACACAGCAGACAUACAGAACGUAAUCACAAUCGUAAAAAGAUAGAAUAUAAAGAAAGAUCUAGCAUUUCUCUUAAGGUCGGAUAAAAAAUACACAAUAAUGUCGUACAUGGUGACAACCACAAUACGCAUAGGAAACUCAACGAGACUGGAACCCAUCAAUGCUGCAGACGGAUGAUAUAAAGAUUGGACACGAUGCUCCUUAAACAGCGAUUUUUUCAAAAAAAUGAUGUCCACUUCAGACAUUGUCUGAAUGGCUGUAAAAACAAUAGCAUUCGACAACACACUGCCGCGUGAGUACAAUUCACUUGACUCGUUUCUUAAAUUAUAAAAAAGAGAGCCAAGCAUAAGUGCCUGAAAAACAUAAGUGAAAACGAAAGUAGCAAUAUACGAGUAAUCAUGAAGGUAUUGAAAAAAAGUCACCUUAGCGGUAGCAAAUACCUGAAGUCUAUAGGGAAUAAGGCAUGGAUUGGAAUUAAGCCAUCUUAAGAAUUUUUGUAAACGUGUUUGAUCAAAUUUGGCAUCUUUAAAGGCGUGGAUAUCACUAUGAUUUUCCUCAUAUCGAUCCAUAAACUUGAUUAGUUUGGCAUAAUCUUCGCUUCGAAGCCAGCAUUCUCUAAAUUCGGCAGGAGUCGAAGGAAUAAAUCCCUGAUGCUUUUUAUUUAUAAUACGCAUUUCUGGGUAUGUCAAAGAGGUGACAAAUUCAACAGUAGUGCUAUGUUUUGCUGGAAUGAAACCAAGAUCCAAGAAAUAUGGCUUUAAACGGCUCGUAGGCCCAUAGAAUAUUUGUUCACCUUCAUACAUCAAAGUGACCAUGUCGAACAUAUGAAAAAUUCUAUCAGAAGCUUGACUAACAAUGGCUACCAGUGUAGUACCUAGCUUAUGUGAAAGCACUUUGAUACGCGAAAGGAUGUCAAUAACGGAUAUGGAGUCAAAAUCACGCAUGUUGUUAUCCCAGCAUUGUAUUAGGGGUCGUGCACACAUGGUCUGAGCAACAUCGACCUUAAUCUGAUCGCCGGAGUUAAAGACGCGAAGAAUUCGAUGGUUGUAAAAGUCUCCCAAAUCAAAUGCAUCGCGAAUGAUUUCGCAAAUGCGACGGAUAUAAUGACUUCUCGGGUGAUCAUAUUUUGAUGCAGGAAGUCGACAGGAGCAAACAAACUCUAAUAAACGUCGGACCGUGAUAGUAGCUACUUUGGAAUGACCUUCACCACAAUAACUCAAGUCAGCUUUAAAUUGAGAAUGCGCUAUUUUGUAAUCUAAACCGUCGUAAUGAAGCGAUCCAUUCAACCUCUCAUUUUCUUCUACAAUACCACACAAAGCCUUUAGCAGUGUGGACCCACCGGAUCCUUCAUGGCCCAACACCAGUAAUGAUGAACCGGGCUGCAGAUAACCAUCAAAUCCUUUAACCAAAGGGAUGAUGUCGCGUUUAGGACCCGUUCGAAAUAUAAUAUUGAUGGGGUGUAGUAAUUGCGCAAAGAAUGAUCGAAUUUGAAAUUUCGGGUUGAAGGCACCUUCGACGGUGAAAUUUCGCAUGCAAAAUCCUGAUGUCCGACCUGUCAAGUGCAGUUCAUUGAGGACUUCUAAGUAUUCUUCAACUUUCUGCUCAAACUUAUCAGGACACUUGGUGUUUUUGCUGUUAGGAUCAUCCAAAUCACCUUUCCCUUUUUCUUGUUCACUCAUGCCACAGUGCAAACAAUUGUAUGUGUUUCAAAAGAGUGUCAAACCUUUAAAUCCUUCUAAUUACAACCUUCAAUGGUAGCCAUAAGUAGUAUGAAGAAAGCAAAAAUUUUUUAAAGACAAUCGAUCGUGACGUUGCUAACUCGGGUUUGCCCUUAUACUAUUUGUUGCGUAGAUCGUAGUUUGUCACCUGGUUAUAUCAAUACAGCAAUUUCUUGCAUUCGAUAAUUGGAUAAGCUGAAGGAAUCCAUUAUACAAGUUCCUUGUUUACAAGAAAAAUUGUGAAGAUACUUUAGUUUUACCUUACUUCAAGGAUUCCUGAUUAAUACCUUUGCUUUUACAUCUUCAAGCUUUCGCUAGUAAAUAUGGUUUGCACCACAUCAUACUACUUUUAAGAUAAUUAGCGAAUUCGGACGACAAAAAAUUUUAUCGCUAUACAGAUUUAACGGCGACGAAGCAGGUUUAAUAGUAUGUGUAAAUUUGUUUAAUGCGUUUGAAAGAUCAACGGUAAAUUUUACGUUAAAUACAUAAACAUCCAUCUUUACGCAGCGGUGCUAUCUGAUGGGUUGUGUAGAAAAAGUAGUUUAUUUAUUGAAUUGACUAACAAUGACUGUAAGUUUAUUCCAUAUACUACAAGCAUCUCGAGAGUUGCUAGAUGCAACAAACUAGACUGUUAAUUAGUGCUCGGUUCCUGGAUUGCCGGUGAAAAAUCGGGUGAAGCGAGAGCGACUACAAAGUAAGAUUCCAGCUGUUGGCAAAUGCACCAGAGGAAGUAAUGUUCUGUAGACCGGUAAUUAGCAAUUCCUCAGUAUCGUUAGAGUACUGGAAGGAGGAGACGUUUUGUCCAUUCAAGGUGAUUGAACUAGGGGAUUCAGUGAGACCAAGGAUCGUUACGUUGGCCAAGGGUUGGCUAACUUCGUAGCUGCCAGUUGGAACGGCACUCAAAACACCAUCACUAAAUGUGAAGCUAACGGAAAGUGUAGCGUUUAGCUCAAUGGAAACACCAUCAUCAAGGUAAAGCUCACCAGUAGCAGAACCAUCUCUAUCCAAAGCGACGAGGAGGUUGAAUGGAUUUUGACGACUUUCAUAAGUAGUGAGCGAAGGUUGUUGCAUGGGAAGAACACUACCACCACGAAUAGCGACAUUGAUGUGUUCCAAAGGAGCGUACAGAGUAACAUUUUCGUUGUAUUGACGAACAAUUUCAGUGUGGUUGUACCAGUCAUACCAUACAGUGCUGUUGUCACCAGGGAAAACACCUUGAACGUAUUCAACAUUAGGCUCCAAGACAGGUGUCACCAAUAGAGAGUCGCCUACCAUGAAUUGACGGUCAACGUCUGCUAGAGUAGGAUCGUUGGGGAAUUCAACGAACAAAGCACGUAGGGCAGGUGUGCCAUCUUGGGAUGCCUUAGCCAUGAUAGUAUACCAGUAAGGGAGUAAAGAAUAACGAAUGUACAUAGCACGACGUGAGGCCUCAGCAACAGAAGACCAUGUGUAGGGCUCUUGUGAGAUUUGGUAAAUGUUGUUAUGAUUUCUAUAGAAUGGCGAAAAAGCACCCAUAGCCAUCCAACGAGAGCAAAGUUCUUCAUCUGAAUCACCAAGGAAACCACAAACAUCAGCUCCUACCAUUGGAAUACCCAUCAUGUUAAAAACGAUCAUUCCAGAAAUGGAGAAGAACAUGUUAGACCAUAGAGAAUGAUUAUCACCCAACCAAUGUGCACCAUAGACUCCAGAUCCCAAGAAGGUAGAACGACUCAAGAUAAAGGGUCGUUCAUUAGGAGAAAUUUGGGUUAGAGCUGCGUAUGAGACCUUUGUCUCACCAUAACCAUACAUGUUGAAAAUAUCGUAACGUUGGGUUCCAUCAUGAGUGGUCGCAUUGGGGCUUACAAUGUGAUUGGCAAUAUCAUGAUUUCCUUGUUCAUUGUUAAUAGCAUAAGGGGGCCAGUCAAUGUUGUAAUCUGGCUUCAAACCUAAUGGAGUAGCAGUUGGUGAAACAAUUUGGAACACCGAUGAUGUUGCAGUGGCAUAGUAGUUGCUAAGUGAAGCACUGUAAGCAGAACUAUACUCAGUCACAUUGGAAACGUUAAAUCCUUCUGGGAUGGAAUACUGCUUUGAAAUUCCGGUCAAGGGCUCUGCAGGGUUUAAGUCAAUCAUAGCACUCCCACAAGAGCCCACGCAGAACGAAGAGGGUUCGUUCAUAUCAGUCCAAAUUCCACUGAAUGGAACAGUACCAUUCGAUCCAAAAGCAUAAGUAAGGUUGAUAAGACAGUCUUUCCAAUAGUCAACCACAUCGGGAUUGGUGAAAUCAGGGAAAGCAGUGAAUCCUGGCCAAACCGCACCAAUGUAGAUACUUCCAUUAGGAUUUUUUAAGAAAAUGUCCUUUUCAACGCCUGCAUAGUAUGGAUAAUAAGAGUCGUCAGUGUGAUUGUAGGGGUUUGCGGCAUAAAUCGCAGCAUCAAUGAUUGGAACGUAAUGCUGAUGAUUGCUUACCAAAUCACUGAAAAAUGUUUGCAUAUCUGACUUUGAAUAAGAAACAGGGUCAACGGUAAAAUCUCUAUAUUUCUCCAUGUAAUCAAUAUCAGACCAAAAGGUUUCCACUGGAAUGUCUGCAUCAAUGUAAUUUUGACGAACGUCCAUGAUUUCUGUGAUAUUUGUGUAACCCCAACGACAUGAGUGGUAACCCAAUGUCCAAUAUUGAUGCAUAGCAGGCUUUCCAAUGGAUUGAACGAAUUGCUUGACAGUCUCCUUGGGACUCUCAGUGCUACCACUGUAUACAAAAAGGUCGAUAACACCACCGAUCAUUCGAUACUGAAGAUAAUCUUGGCGCAAAAGAACAUCCAUUCCAUUAGCUGUAAGCAUAAGAACACCAUGAGAAGAAGAAGUAUAAGUGGUUUCGUUCAAAGUUGAAUUUAUACCAUCCGCCUUGUAUCUUUGUUCUAAAUAGUAUGGAUGACUUCCGUACAUGUUUUGGUCCACGGGGCUAGGUUCAUCAUUAGCCCAAAAGGUACGGGUUAAGUUAUUUCCCAGACGUAAACCAUGGAUGGUUUCAGCGAGACCAUAAAGAUUAUAAUUUUCAACCAUAUUAGUAGUUAACUCAAUAUACUGAUCUUCGAAAACCAAUUUCUGUCCGCGUGUAUCAAAUAAAACUUCACCAUCGCUCUUACGUGUAACCCAAAAUUCGAAAGGAUUGGCAUUGUACGAAAAGUUGUACAGAAGGUUUGUGUUAUUGUAAGAAGGUGAAUAUAAGGGAGCAUCCCAAAGAUCUUUCCUACUGGUAAAUUGGAAUUGAGUGUUAUUAGCGUCUUUGAUUGAUAUAUGAACUCGGUCGGCUUCCUCAUAUGUGACGUUGAGGAACAACAAUGGGUAAUCAGUACCAUAGGCAUAGCAAGGCUCGCCGAGUAGUGCGAGAUAGGCAGUAACGCCAUUUUGUGACUCAGAUAUGUUAACAGCUUGAUAUCCUUGACAAUUUACACCGCGAUAUGGGUCAUAUACGGAUAAGCGUUGAGGGAUACCAUUGGUAGGGAUAGUGACAUUGCGAUCACCAAUGACAUUGAAAGUUUGGUAGACGUUACCGACAGCAAUCGAGAUUGCUGAAAACAGAGCAGUUAAAAAUAGAGAUUGGUAGGCAGUAGAAAUCAUCAUCGUUAAAAAAAAACAAAAAAGAGAUCAAAAAGUUUUAAGAAAAAUCAAAGUACCAACUAAAAAGAAUCGUAGAGAAAAAGAAUGGAAAAGAUUAACCAAAAAGGCAAUUUGGCAAUAGAAGGGCGG
rnacentral:lncRNA from 1 species